ACGCAGGAUAAGUUACAAUGCAGCUUGUUAAGUACUGCUUUGUCGUUCCCCCUGCAAACAAUAAUCUUGUUUCCUCGCUAUACCUGUCAGUCAGCAUCACUCGACUGCCAGGCACGAAAGGUUUCAGACAC
rnacentral:snoRNA from 1 species